AUUGAACGCUGGCGGCAGGCUUAACACAUGCAAGUCGAGCGGAGCGAGGGUGCUUGCACCUUAGCUUAGCGGCGGACGGGUGAGUAAUGCUUAGGAAUCUGCCUAUUAGUGGGGGACAACAUUCCGAAAGGAAUGCUAAUACCACAUACGCCCUACGGGGGAAAGCAGGGGAUCUUCGGACCUUGCGCUAAUAGAUGAGCCUAAGUCGGAUUAGCUAGUUGGUGGGGUAAAGGCCUACCAAGGGGACGAUCUGUAGCGGGUCUGAGAGGAUGGUCCGCCACACUGGGACUGAGACACGGCCCAGACUCCUACGGGAGGCAGCAGUGGGGAAUAUUGGACAAUGGGCGGAAGCCUGAUCCAGCCAUGCCGCGUGUGUGAAGAAGGCCUUUUGGUUGUAAAGCACUUUAAGCGAGGAGGAGGCUACUUAGAUUAAUACUCUGGGAUAGUGGACGUUACUCGCAGAAUAAGCACCGGCUAACUCUGUGCCAGCCGCCGCAGUAA
rnacentral:rRNA from 1 species